AUUGAACGCUGGCGGCAGGCCUAACACAUGCAAGUCGGGCGAGUGGCGGCCGGGUGAGUAAUGUAUGGGGAUCUGCCUGAUGGAGGGGGAUAACUACUGGAAACGGUGGCUAAUACAGCAUACUUAUGGAUGAACCCAUAUGGGAUUGGCUAGUAGGUGGGGUAAAGGCUCACCUAGGCGACGAUCGCUAGCUGGUCUGAGAGGAGGACCAGCCACACUGGGACGGAGACACGGCCCAGACGCCUACGGGAGGCAGCAGUGGGGAAUAUUGCGCAAUGGGGGCAACCCUGACGCAGCCAUGCCGCGUGAAUGAAGAAGGCCUUCGGGUUGUAAAGUUCUUUCGGUAGCGAGGCGUUAACUACAGAAGAAGCACCGGCUAACUCCGUGCCAGCCGCCGCGGUAAUAC
rnacentral:rRNA from 1 species